rnacentral:antisense_RNA from 1 species
CUUGACCGUGCCGAGCAGCAGCGGGUGUUCGCGGCCCUGUCCGUACGUGGCCAGCAGCGCCUGUGCCUC